ACCAAGGAGUCUAACAUGUGCGCGAGCCGCGGGGCAGUACGAAACCCGUAAGGCGAAAUGAAGGUGAACGCCGGCGCGGUCCGGCGGAGGUUGGAUCCCGUCCCGUCGGGGCGGGCGCACUACCGGCCGAUCUUCUCCGCCCUGUCGGCGAGGUCGAGCGAGAGCGUGCAAGUCGGGACCCGAAAGAUGGUGAACUAUGCCUGAGGAGGUUGAAGCCAGAGGAAACUCUGGUGGAGGACCGUAGCGAUUCUGACGUGCAAAUCGAUCGUCAAAUUUGGGUAUAGGGGCGAAAGACUAAUCGAACCGUCUAGUAGCUGGUUCCCUUCGAAGUUUCCCUCAGGAUAGCUGGCGCUCUGUCGCAGUUUUAUCUGGUAAAGCGAAUGAUUAGAGGUCUUGGGGGCGAAACGCCCUCAACCUAUUCUCAAACUUUAAAUUGGUAAGAAGCCCGACUCGCUCGUUUGGAGCCGGGCAUGGAAUGCGAGUGCCAAGUGGGCCACUCUUGGUAAGCAGGACUGGCGAUGCGGGAUGAACCGAACGCCGGGUUAAUGCGCCCGACGCGACGC
rnacentral:ncRNA from 1 species